CCCUUAGAUGUUCUGGGCCGCACGCGUGCUACACUGAGUGGAUCAGCGGGUCAGGUUGCGCGAAAGCGUUUCCUAAUCUUUAAAUCCGCUCGUGAUGGGGAUUGACGGUUGCAAUUUUCUGUCAUGAACGAGGAAUACCUUGUAAGCGCGGGUCAUCAUCCCGCGCUGAAUACGUCCCUGCCCUUUGUACACACCGCCCGUCGCUUCUACCGAUGAAUGAUCCGGUGAACACUCUGGACUUGUUGUCUGUCGGAGCAAUCCAAAGACGAUAGGGAAGUUGUGUAAACCUUAUCAUUUAGAGGAAGAAGAAGUCGUAACA
rnacentral:rRNA from 1 species